GAUGAACGCUGGCGGCGUGCCUAAUACAUGCCAGUCGAGCGAACAGAUGAGGAGCUUGCUCCUCUGACGUUAGCGGCGGACGGGUGAGUAACACGUGGAUAACCUACCUAUAAGACUGGGAUAACUUCGGGAAACCGGAGCUAAUACCGGAUAAUAUAUUGAACCGCAUGGUUCAAUAGUGAAAGACGGUUUUGCUGUCACUUAUAGAUGGAUCCGCGCCGCAUUAGCUAGUUGGUAAGGUAACGGCUUACCAAGGCAACGAUGCGUAGCCGACCUGAGAGGGUGAUCGGCCACACUGGAACUGAGACACAGUCCAGACUCCUACGGGAGGCAGCAGUAGGGAAUCUUCCGCAAUGGGCGAAAGCUUGACGGAGCAACGCCGCGUGAGUGAUGAAGGUCUUCGGAUCGUAAAACUCUGUUAUUAGGGAAGAACAAAUGUGUAAGUAACUAUGCACGUCUUGACGGUACCUAAUCAGAAAGCCACGGCUAACUACGUG
rnacentral:rRNA from 1 species